rnacentral:lncRNA from 10 species
UCUGUCUCUUGAACUCCUGUCUCUGUCACAUGAUGCUAAGUCUUGGUCUCUGAAUCUUUCUUUUGAGGAUCUGAAAAAUAUUAAUUUGAGGAGCAAAAUAUGUUGGGAAACCCAAAAACCCAAAUUAAAGAAUAGGAUAAAUAUUAAGCUCUUGAUAGCUGAAGAUAUAUAGACGAAUAUACCCAUGACAGAGGAGUCAGUUUUCUGACAAAUUACAGAGCACUACCAUAGUUGAUAAGGGCAUUAAAACAAGAAGAUGGGUGAAAAACAAAUAGCAGAGGGUCAGAAGGCUAAAAUAAUUUCUUACAGGCUACUCUCAUCUCAGAGACAACACAGAGUUUCUCCAAUUCAUAAAAGGUAUUUUAAUAUAAAAAAUAAUACAUAGAUAACAGCUUUAAAAAGUGAAAGAAAUGUAUUAUCUAAAUUUUAAAUGGCUUAGAAUAGGGGCCAGAUGGUGACUAUCUGGGGUACUGCAGGUCCAUGCAAUCUUUGUGGCAGUUCUUUUCUUUUUAGAAUGUAAAAACCAUCCAUAGCUUGCUGGUUGUACAGGCUACCGGCCAGAUUUGGCCUAUCGGCAACAGUUUGCCAACACCUGACUUAGAUAAGAGAACUACUCAAUUAUUAAUAUGAAUUUAAAUAACCACUUCUAAAAAUCUACUCAUACUGAGUUAGCUUAUUCAACCAACAAGGGGAAAUAAAAAAAGACAAAGAUGCUCACACUAAUAAAUCUUGAUUAGCCAUAACUGUUUACUACCUUCUCCAUUCCCAUACCCAACUUCAUUAUAAGAAAGGUAAAUAAUAAAUCAAUCGGAAAACCAAACAUAUUAUGGAAUCAGAAUAAACAUGGAAUCUUCCAUACUUCCAACAUCUAAAAUUCAACAAAUUACAUUUAUUUGGUUCUUUACAGGUGACACAGCACUUUUACAUAAUUAUCUCACUCAACCCAUAUUCAAAAUUAGGAUCUGAGGCACUACCAAGAACCUGAAUAAGUAAUACUUUCAGGAAAAUAAAAAAUAUGACUGUUCAGUUUUAGAAAUAUAGUUAAGGAGGGUUAAACAAAAAAUGGUUCUAAAAUAAUGUCCACUUUGAACAUUCUACUUAAUGUUUUAAUAAACUUAAAAUGAUAUAAAAAGACUGGGCACGGUGACUCACGCCUGUAAUCCCAGCACUUUGGGAGGCCAAGGCAGGCAGAUCACUUGAGGUCAGGAGUUCAAGACCAGCCUAGCCAACAUAGUGAAACCCCCGUCUCUACUUAAAAUACAAAAAAUUAGCUGAGAGUGGUGGCGUGUGCCUGUAGUCCCAGCUACUCGGGAGGCUGAGGCAGGAGAAUCACUUGAACCUGGGAGGCGGAGGCUGCAGUGAGCCCAGAUCGCAUUACUGCACUCCAGCCUGGGUGACAGAGCAAGACUCCAUCUCAACAACAACAAAAAAUCACAGUGCCAAGUCUAGUGAUUCCACGUCUACACUAGUCCUAUCCAUAGCCUUUGUUGGAAUAAAAUAUGAAAAGAGAUGGUAAAAAUGAUACCUAAAAAGACACUAGAUGCCAAACAGUCCCAGUGAUCAGUAAUAACUAAAAAACUAUGAGUAUCAACUACUAUGUCCCACACAUAGUGGUUUCCAUAUACUAUUUUACUCAAACUACCAAUAAUCUUAACAAAGCAGGUAUUCUUACUUUCUCCACUUAGUAGAUGGGGAAAGACAGGUGAGAUAGUUAUAAAUUACUUAGCCAAGGUGGGACGUGGUGGCUCAUGCCUGUAAUCCCAGCAUUUUGGGAGGCCAAGGCAGGUGGAUCACCUGAGGUCGGGAGUUUGAGACCAGCCCGGCCAACAUGGCGUAACCCUGUCCCUACUAAAAAUACAAAAAUAGCCAGGUGUGGUGGCCUGGGCCUGUAAUCCCAGCUACUUGGGAGGCCGAGGCAAAAGAAUCGCUUGAACCCGCAAGGCAGAGGUUGCAACGAGCCGAGAUCGCGCCACUGCCCUCCAGCCUGGGUGACAGAACGAGACUCUCGUCUCAAAAAAAAAAAUAAAUUACUUAGCCUAAACCAAUGAACCCAAGUAAUCUGACUUUGGAGUCUGCACUAAACAUGUUUGAACAGAGCAAAAAGAUAGAUAGAUGCAAAUGGUCCUCAUUUACGCAGGGCACUAUUGCCAGGAAGAGGUCACAAAGAAUCUACUUGUAUCAGAGACAAGUAUUUCACAGUAGGGAAAGGAGAACAGCAAAACAUAAAAGGCUUUCAAUAAGAACUUUUACCUUGAAAAAUUAAACCCAAAUAUGUAGCAAUAACUUGAUGUUGUAUGAAAUACCAAGUAGGUUUUAACAGCAAUUAUCUGGUAAUUUUUAGUAUAAAACAAAGAAUGAUGCUUUAAAAGAGAAUAAUUUGAAUUCAAAGAUGAGAAAGUGCUCGAGAAAAGCAAAACUUUUAAUAGUUUUACAAAAAUAAUCCUCUUUAUGAACAUGCUGACAUCUUAGAUAUGAUCAUGUAUCAUGUAUGGUGGAAAAAUUCCUAUACAACUUCAUCAACGCAGGAAGCAUCAGGGACUAAAAUAACACAAUCUCAGAUUAGGGGACUUCACGCCCAUCCUUCCCAUACCCAUCACCAAUAAAGACAUUUAGGAGUUCAGCAACAACAAUGACAGUUGGGCAGAUUUGACACAGGAAAAUGUCUAAACCUUCCAUCACCUAGCAGGAUAAUUCUGAAAAUUCAUUGUGCAGAUAAGACAGGUAACUUUUAAAAAAUGCUUAUUUCUGAACACUGCACUGAGGGUAGACCCCCAAAAUCAGUUUCAAGAGUGUGAGAUAAGAGGCCUACAAAUCACUCUGUCCUUUACAAACUCCCUCCUCAUUCUCUGCAUUUGCCUAGGAUAUUCACUCUAUAUGGAAUAUCUUUUUCCUAGCUGAUUCUACCUGUUCAAAUUUUACCGACUACCUGAAGCCAUUUUUGAUUACUCUGUUAUUUGCCUCAUCUAAACUCUCGGAUCAUUUAUUCUAUGAUAUGCAGUUUAGCACUUUAUAACAUGUGGUAGUCUUAUGCCAGUCUAAUUAUUGUCAAAGAUGUCAAUCCUUUGUUCUAACUCACAUAGGAGACUUUUUGUUUUUUUUUUUGUUUGUUUUUUUUUGUUUUGAGAGCUGGAGUCUCGCUCUGUCACCCAGGCUGGAGUGCAGUGGUGCGAUCUUGGCUCACUGCAACCUCCACCUUUGUGUUCAAGCAAUUCUCCUUCCUCAGCCUCCUGAGUAGCUGGGAUUACAGGCAUGUGCCACCAUGCCCGGCUAAUGUUUGUAUUUUAGUAGAGAUGGGGUUGGUUGGCCAGGCUGGUCUUGAACUCCUGAUCUCAAGUGAUACGCCCAUCUCGGUCUCCCAAAGUGCUGGGAUUAUAAGCGUGAGCCAUGGCACCCAGCCUCACAUAGGAAACUUCUUAGAGCAACUUAAAGUUGUUCAACUAUGUUAUACGUCUUUCUUAUGUUUUACUAAGUCUAGUACAGUAAAACAUAUACAAUUAAUUAUUAUUAAAAUCACCUUAAGAAAUACUAAAAACAAGGCCAGAAUAUAAGAAAUAAAAUAUUGAGAGCCUAUUAACAAACUCAGCUUGUGAGUGAUUUCAGGGAAUGGAAAGUUGAGUCAAAAAAAAAUAGGAAAGAUUUUAACAGCUUUCUGUGGAUUUUAUUAUAGAUUUUAUGUGGAGUAAUCCACAGAAUAUGUAAGACUAGUAGGUACUAGGCACUCAAAAAAUGUUUAUCAUACAUAUACUUCUGAAUAGUUGUCAAGAAAAAAGCAAUUUUAAACAUGGCUUACGUUACACAGAAAUUACCUGGUUUAAGGGCCAUCAUGUGACCUGAGAAGUUUUGACAGUUUGAUCUAUACAGACUAUGAAUGCUAAACUCUUCUACCACAUUAUAAUCCUUUGUCUAUCCUUAAUAGAUAUUCAAGUCCUCAAACAUACCUUACCCUAUGCCUGCACCUUUUGAAUGUUCUCAUUAAACCAAGGGAAGUCUUGGAACCUCCUUAUUAGUCUGCCUUGCCAAGCUGAAGAACUGUGCCGACUUCUCUGGUGGCUAC